rnacentral:rRNA from 1 species
UGGGGAAUUUUGCACAAUGGGGGAAACCCUGAUGCAGCGACGCCGCGUGAUUUAGAAGGCCUUCGGGUUGUAAAAAUCUUUUCUAUGGGAAGAAAAUGACAGUACCAUAGGAAUAAGGACCGGCUAAUUACGUGCCAGCAGCCGCGGUAAUACGUAAGGUCCGAGCGUUGUCCGGAAUCAUUGGGCGUAAAGGGUACGUAGGCGGUUCGUCGCGUCUGGUGUGAAAGCCCAUCGCUUAACGGUGGGUUUGCGCCGGGUACGGGCGGGCUAGAGUGCAGUAGGGGAGACUGGAAUUCCCGGUGUAACGGUGGAAUGUGUAGAUAUCGGGAAGAACACCAAUGGCGAAGGCAGGUCUCUGGGCUGUUACUGACGCUGAGAAGCGAAAGCGUGGGGAGCGAACAGG